GCAGCAGCCGCGGGAAUACAGAGGGUGCGAGCGUUAAUCGGAUUUACUGGGCGUAAAGCGUGCGUAGGCGGCUAAUUGAGUCGGAUGUGAAAUCCCCGAGCUUUACUUGGGAAUUGCAUUCGAUACUGGUUAGCUAGAGUGUGGGAGAGGAUGGUAGAAUUCCAGGUGUAGCGGUGAAAUGCGUAGAGAUCUGGAGGAAUACCGAUGGCGAAGGCAGCCAUCUGGCCUAACACUGACGCUGAGGUACGAAAGCAUGGGGAGCAAACAGGAUUAGAGACCCCAGUAGUCCCUGUCUCUUAUAC
rnacentral:rRNA from 1 species